rnacentral:lncRNA from 1 species
CCCGUAUUGAAGAACUUAGUGAAAAUACACAUCUCCUAAUUUUAAAUAUAUAUUCAAGAAUAGGACAAAUUAGAAACACUUUGGAAGUUUUAUUUUCCCCUCUAUGAUGACCUGCGAAUUUGAAUCUUGACCACCUUCACAAGCUAACAACGUCCACAAGCAAUUGCUUUACUUCAUUGCCAAGGUAACAUCUAGAAAUCUCCGUUCUGUCCUCUGAACAACUGUAGCGACCCAAGAAUCUAAUUUGGUGCCUCAUAAAUGAUUGUGUUCCAUCUCGACAGUUAUUUUUAAAUUCUACAAUAACACCAGCUCACAGGAUGUUGGCUUUUUCCUCCAGUAUUUCUGCUGUUCCCCAGCUGUUUGAAAUACGUUGUGGCUUUGACUUCUUCAAACUACCUCCUGUGAUGAAGAUUACCUUAAUUGCUUGUUUGUAGAAGAUUCAGUCAGAGACGUAAUAUGCUGUAACAAUUAUUAAUAGGUGAAGGCUGACAUUUUACAUUCCUCGUUAUUCUGUUAGCAGUUUCUUAUGACUACUUUUUGGCUUUUUAAAAACAUUUUGCCUUGAAGACAGAAGAUCCUUUGAAGGUUUGUGAUCACAAUGCUGUCAUCCCCUAAAAGGCCACAUCAUGGUCAGAGAAAAGGCUUAUUUAUUUCUGUCAAACAAUAUUCAACAACCAUUUAUUGAGCAUCUAUUAUGUGCCACACACUUGUCCAAGGUGUAGGGGGAUACCUAUGUAAACGUAUCAGAUUAGACUUUGCCCCCUUGGUGCCUACAUUCUAAUGGAGGAAACAGAAAACAAGCAUGCAAACAAAUCAAGUGUGUGAAAUAAUUUAACAUAAUGACAAUGCUAUGAAGAAAAAGCAGAAACCAUAAGCAACCAAUGUUUUUUUGUGUGUUUGUUUUUUCUCCCCAGAGCCAUUGUAUGCACGUAUAUAAAGUCCAAAUAUAUCCAGUAUUCCCCUUUCUUAUGCAAACAUUUUGGCAUACUGUACCAUACAUCCGUUUUUACUACCAUCUCUUUUCUGCUUAGCCAUAUAUCUCAGAGAUCAUUCCUUAUCACUACUUAAUGAAAUUCUUCAUUAUUUCUUAUAUGGCUACAACAUAUUCCAUUGUGCAGGGGUACAUAGCUUAUUUCACCAGACUUAUUUGAUAGAUAUUUAGAUCAUUUCUAGUCUUUUGCUCUCUCAGUCAAUGCUGUAAUGAAUAUCAUUUUGCAUACAUCAUUUUGCACAUGCAAAGGUGUACCUGUCAGAUAGCUAAGGUGUAACUGUCAGAGGUUAAAUUGUUAGAUCAAAAGUGUGUAUAUUUGUAAUUUUAAGUGAAUGCAUUUUAUGCUAUAACUUUUAUGAAUAGGUAAUAUUGUGUCCGGAAUUGGUGGGUUCUUGGUCUCACUGACUUGAAGAAUGAAGCUGCGGACGCUCGCGCUGAGUGUUACAGUUCUUAAAGGCAGCACUCCGGAAUUUGUUCCUUCUGAUGGUCGGAUGUGUUCAGAGUUUCUUUCCUCUGGUGGGUUCGUGGUCUCCUUGGCUCAGGAGUGAAGCUGCAGACUUUCGCGGUGAGUGUUACAGCUCUUAAGGCGGCGCGUCUGGAGUUGUUCCUUCCUUCCGGUGGGUUCGUGGUCUCCAUGGCUUCAAGAGUGAAGCUGCAGACAUUCACGGUGCUUGAGUGAUAGUCAAAUCUCCAUAUACCAAUCAUGGAGCAGAGGUGCUAUGAGAGAUUCCUAACUCCUGAAAAACUGUGACAAAGG